rnacentral:tRNA from 1 species
GCCGAGGUGGCAGAGCGGACUAAUCCGACGGCUGUUUUGCUCCGGGAGGAGUGCUUGGGUUCGAAUCCCAACCUCGGCG